rnacentral:rRNA from 1 species
UACGUAGGGGGCAAGCGUUGUCCGGAUUUAUUGGGCGUAAAGAGCGUGUAGGCGGCUUUACAGGUCCGUUGUGAAAACUCGAGGCUCAACCUCGAGACGCCGGUGGAAACCGUAAAGCUAGAGUCCGGAAGAGGAGAGUGGAAUUCCUGGUGUAGCGGUGAAAUGCGUAGAUAUCUGGAGGAACACCGGUGGCGAAGGCGGCAUCCUGGACCAACACUGACACUGAGGAGCGAAAGCCAGGGGAGCAAACGGG